GAUGAACGCUGGCGGCGUGCCUAAUACAUGCAAGUCGAGCGAACAGACGAGGAGCUUGCUCCUCUGACGUUAGCGGCGGACGGGUGAGUAACACGUGGAUAACCUACCUAUAAGACUGGGAUAACUUCGGGAAACCGGAGCUAAUACCGGAUAAUAUAUCGAACCGCAUGGUUCAAUAGUGAAAGACGGUUUUGCUGUCACUUAUAGAUGGAUCCGCGCCGCAUUAGCUAGUUGGUAAGGUAACGGCUUACCAAGGCAACGAUGCGUAGCCGACCUGAGAGGGUGAUCGGCCACACUGGAACUGAGACACGGUCCAGACUCCUACGGGAGGCAGCAGUAGGGAAUCUUCCGCAAAGGGCGAAAGCUUGACGGAGCAACGCCGCGUGAGUGAUGAAGGUCUUCGGAUCGUAAAACUCUGUUAUUAGGGAAGAACAAAUGUGUAAGUAACUAUGCACGUCUUGACGGUACCUAAUCAGAAAGCCACGGCUAACUACGUG
rnacentral:rRNA from 1 species